ACGGGUGAGUAACGCGUGAGAAUCUGCCCUCAGGAGGGGGAUAACGGCUGGAAACGGCCGCUAAUACCCCAUAUGCCGAGAGGUGAAAUGAAUUUCGCCUGAGGAUGAGCUCGCGUCUGAUUAGCUAGUUGGUAAGGUAAGAGCUUACCAAGGCAUCGAUCAGUAGCUGGUCUGAGAGGAUGAUCAGCCACACUGGGACUGAGACACGGCCCAGACUCCUACGGGAGGCAGCAGUGGGGAAUUUUCCGCAAUGGGCGAAAGCCUGACGGAGCAACGCCGCGUGAGGGAUGAAGGCCUCUGGGCUGUAAACCUCUUUUCUCAAGGAAGAAGACAUGACGGUACUUGAGGAAUAAGCCACGGCUAAUUCCGUGCCAGCAGCCGCGGUAAUACGGGAGUGGCAAGCGUUAUCCGGAAUUAUUGGGCGUAAAGCGUCCGCAGGCGGCCUUUUAAGUCUGUUGUUAAAGCGUGGAGCUCAACUCCAUUUCGGCAAUGGAAACUGGAAGGCUGGAGUGUGGUAGGGGCAGAGGGAAUUCCCGGUGUAGCGGUGAAAUGCGUAGAUAUCGGGAAGAACACCAGUGGCGAAGGCGCUCUGCUGGGCCAUAACUGACGCUCAUGGACGAAAGCCAGGGGAGCGAAAGGGAUUAGAUACCCCUGUAGUCCUGGCCGUAAACGAUGAACACUAGGUGUCGGGGGAAUCGACCCCCUCGGUGUCGUAGCCAACGCGUUAAGUGUUCCGCCUGGGGAGUACGCACGCAAGUGUGAAACUCAAAGGAAUUGACGGGGGCCCGCACAAGCGGUGGAGUAUGUGGUUUAAUUCGAUGCAACGCGAAGAACCUUACCAGGGUUUGACAUCCUGCGAAUCCCUUGGAAACUAGGGAGUGCCUUCGGGAGCGCAGAGACAGGUGGUGCAUGGCUGUCGUCAGCUCGUGUCGUGAGAUGUUGGGUUAAGUCCCGCAACGAGCGCAACCCACGUCUUUAGUUGCCAGCAUUUAGUUGGGCACUCUAGAGAGACCGCCGGUGAUAAACCGGAGGAAGGUGUGGAUGACGUCAAGUCAUCAUGCCCCUUACAUCCUGGGCUACACACGUACUACAAUGCUACGGACAAAGGGCAGCAAACUCGCGAGAGCUAGCAAAUCCCAUAAACCGUGGCUCAGUUCAGAUCGUAGGCUGCAACUCGCCUACGUGAAGGAGGAAUCGCUAGUAAUCGCAGGUCAGCAUACUGCGGUGAAUACGUUCCCGGGCCUUGUACACACCGCCCGUCACACCAUGGAAGUUGGCCACGCCCGAAGCC
rnacentral:rRNA from 1 species